CCCUUAGAUGUCCUGGGCCGCACGCGCGCUACACUGAUGCAUUCAACGAGUUUUACCUUGGCCGAGAGGCCUGGGCAAUCUUUUAAACCUGCAUCGUGAUAGGGAUAGAUUAUUGCAAUUUUUAAUCUUGAACGAGGAAUUCCUAGUAAACGCAAAUCAUCAAUUUGCAUUGAUUACGUCCCUGCCCUUUGUACACACCGCCCGUCGCACCUACCGAUUGAAUGGUCCGGUGAAGCCUCGGGAUUGUGGCCAGUUCACUUUAUUGGGAGUUGGCUGUGAGAACUUGUCUAAACCUUAUCAUUUAGAGGAAGGUGUAGUCGUAACA
rnacentral:rRNA from 1 species